GAUGAACGCUGGCGGCGUGCCUAAUACAUGCAAGUCGAGCGAACAGACGAGGAGCUUGCUCCUCUGACGUUAGCGGCGGACGGGUGAGUAACACGUGGUUAACCUACCUAUAAGACUGGGAUAACUUCGGGAAACCGGAGCUAAUACCGGAUAAUAUAUUGAACCGCAUGGUUCAAUAGUGAAAGACGGUUUUGCUGUCACUUAUAGAUGGAUCCGCGCCGCAUUAGCUAGUUGGUAAGGUAACGGCUUACCAAGGCAACGAUGCGUAGCCGACCUGAGAGGGUGAUCGGCCACACUGGAACUGAGACACGGUCCAGACUCCUACGGGAGGCAGCAGUAGGGAAUCUUCCGCAGUGGGCGAAAGCCUGACGGAGCAACGCCGCGUGAGUGAUGAAGGUCUUCGGAUCGUAAAACUCUGUUAUUAGGGAAGAACAAAUGUGUAAGUAACUAUGCACGUCUUGACGGUACCUAAUCAGAAAGCCACGGCUAACUACGU
rnacentral:rRNA from 1 species